UAGGCAUUUAUUAAAGCUGAACAUUUUCAGUAUCUACAAAAUCCAUAAAAACACCAUUACUACUUGGUUGUCAGAAUUUUUUCCGGAACUAUGACAAGUGAUGGCUAACAUUACAUUCAUUAAACUUUGUAUUUUCCUCCCCAGGUCAAAAUUGACCAGGUCUGGUUUGACUGGUUGCAAAGCAUAGAGUACAAAUUAUCAGCCAAUUCAACUUCAUUUAACCUUACUGCUAGUUUUUUUCCUUCCUCCUUCCUCCCUUCACCCAAAGACAGUUUGGUUUAAGUCACUGCAUCAAAUGCAUAGCAGCUAAGAAAACUAAGUAAAAGCUAACUAAAUUACACACAUUCCAUUAACAAUAACAAUUAAACAUAUCAAACUGGCUCUCAACAAUGGUGGGUCCAAAAAUGAACCUGGACAUCUGAGACAGAUGGACUGAACUAUACUGGCUAAAUAAAGCCCCACUCAAAGUCCAUCACAUUUUUUAGUAGAGUGGCCACAUGGGGAUUCACUGCUGUUGCCUUUUUGUGGACCAGCUUCCCCGUCUUCUUUGACACCACCUUCCCCUGGCUGGUUUUUCUUCCCCUUUCAGGAUUAAUCCCAAUGAGGCACCUAAAAUGUAAUAAUAGAGAAAGUAUAUAAGAUAUAAGGUAUGGUAAGUAAAGACCAUUUGCAUUUAAUAUGGAACCCUAUAACAGUAAUUGAAUAAAAAAUUAACACCUAUGAGUUUGCAUGUGCCUGACAUGUGCAAUGUACUCCUGCAGGUUUUACCACAUAUCAAAAUAAUCUUUAAAGUACUUUCUCAAGAAAAGAAAAAUCAUUACAUCAAAAACUAGUCAACUAACUUUUAGCUACUGUAUAUUACAUUAGUGCAUAUUUGAAGCUCCUUUUUAGCUUUUUGCAUCAACCUGCAUAACAAGCUUCUCCCUAUAAACUCCCAUAAACUGUGUUAUUUGAAAAAGUAAAACAAUAAAUGGUCGAUCUGACAACAAAUGCCCAAGCCAACCUAUGCUAAUUUAAGUAAUUUGCUUCAACAGAAAGCUAAACUUUAAAUGAGAGUAACGUAUGCUAGCGUGCGGCACGUACUUUUGACUCAAUCUUUUCGGCAAAAAACAGUCAAUAAAAUGUUAAUCCAAUGACAUUAGUACGGUGGCCCUGAGGUGCAAAUCACAACAGCAAAUCAGAAAACACAACACAAAAAGAGAAAACACAACGGCAAAUCAGAAAACACAACACAAAAAGAGAAAACACAACACAAAAAGAAAAAACACAACACAAAAAGAGAAAACACAACGGCAAAUCAGAAAACACAACACAAAAAGAGAAAACACAACGGCAAAUCAGAAAACACAACACAAAAAGAGAAAACACAACACAAAAAGAGAAAACACAACGGCAAAUCAGAAAACACGACACAAAAAGAGAAAACACAACACAAAAAGAGAAAACACAACGGCAAAUCAGAAAACACAACACAAAAAGAGAAAACACAAC